rnacentral:rRNA from 1 species
CUACGGGAGGCACCAGUGGGGAAUAUUGCACAAUGGAGGAAACUCUGAUGCAGCAACGCCGCGUGGAGGAUGACACUUUUCGGAGCGUAAACUCCUUUAUAUAGGAAGAAGAUGACGGUACUAUAUGAAUAAGCGCCGGCUAACUCCGUGCCAGCAGCCGCGGUAAUACGGAGGGCGCAAGCGUUACUCGGAAUCACUGGGCGUAAAGAGCGUGUAGGCGGAUUAAAAAGUCAGAAGUGAAAUCCUAUAGCUUAACUAUAGAACUGCUUCUGAAACUCUUAAUCUAGAAUGUGGGAGAGGUAGAUGGAAUUUCUGGUGUAGGGGUAAAAUCCGUAGAGAUCAGAAGGAAUACCGAUUGCGAAGGCGAUCUACUAGAACAUUAUUGACGCUGAGACGCGAAAGCGUGGGGAGCAAACAGGAUUAGAUACCCCAGUAGUC